rnacentral:rRNA from 1 species
GGGAAUUUUCCGCAAUGGGCGAAAGCCUGACGGAGCAAUGCCGCGUGAAGGAUGAAGGCCUAUGGGUUGUAAACUUCUUUUCUCAGAGAAGAAUUUUGACGGUAUCUGAGGAAUAAGCAUCGGCUAACUCUGUGCCAGCAGCCGCGGUAAGACAGAGGAUGCAAGCGUUAUCCGGAAUGAUUGGGCGUAAAGCGUCUGUAGGUGGCUUAAAAAGUCUCCUGUCAAAGAUCAGGGCUUAACCCUGGGCCGGCAGGAGAAACUCUUAGGCUAGAGUUUGGUAGAGGCAGAGGGAAUUCCCGGUGGAGCGGUGAAAUGCGUAGAGAUCGGGAGGAACACCAAAGGCGAAAGCACUCCGCUGGGCCACAACUGACACUGAGAGACGAAAGCGAGGGGAGCAAAAGGGAUUAGAUACCCCUGUAGUC